rnacentral:lncRNA from 1 species
AUGACUGGUUUUCCUGCCCCUCUACGUACAGCCUGUCUUCCCGGCACAACACCACUCUACGUACAGCCUGUCUUCCCGGCACAACACCCCUCAACGUACAGCCUGUCUUCCCGGCACAACACCACUCUACGUACAGCCUGUCUUCCCGGCACAACACCCCUCUACGUACAGCCUGUCUUCCCGGCACAACACCCCUAUACGUACAGCCUGUCUUCCCGGCACAACACCCCUCUACGUACAGCCUGUCUUCCCGGCACAACACCCCUCUACGUACAGCCUGUCUUCCCGGCACAACACCCCUCUACGUACAGCCUGUCUUCCCUUCACAACGCCCCUCUACGUACAGCCUGUCUUCCCGGCACAACACCCCUCUACGUACAGCCUGUCUUCCCGGCACAACACCCCACUACGUACAGCCUGUCUUCCCGACACAACACCCCUCUACGUACAGCCUGUCUUCCCGGCACAACACCCCUCUACGUACAGCCUGUCUUCCCUUCACAACGCCCCUCUACGUACAGCCUGUCUUCCCGGCACAACACCCCUCUACGUACAGCCUGUCUUCCCGGCACAACACCCCUCUACGUACAGCCUGUCUUCCCGGCACAACACCCCUCUACGUACAGCCUGUCUUCCCGGCACAACACCCCUCUACGUACAGCCUGUCUUCCCGGCACAACACCCCUAUACGUACAGCCUGUCUUCCCGGCACAACACCCCUAUACGUACAGCCUGUCUUCCCGGCACAACACCCCUAUACGUACAGCCUGUCUUCCCUUCACAACGCCCCUCUACGUACAGCCUGUCUUCCCGGCACAACGCCCCUCUACGUACAGCCUGUCUUCCCGGCACAACACCCCUAUACGUACAGCCUGUCUUCCCGGCACAACACCCCUAUACGUACAGCCCGUCUUCCCGGCACAACACCCCUCUACGUACAGCCCGUCUUCCCGGCACAACACCCCUAUACGUACAGCCCGUCUUCCCGGCACAACACCCCUCUACGUACAGCCCGUCUUCCCGGCACAACACCCCUCUACGUACAGCCUGUCUUCCCGGCACAACACCCCUCUACGUACAGCCUGUCUUCCCGGCACAACACCCCUCUACGUACAGCCUGUCUUCCCGGCACAACACCCCACUACGUACAGCCUGUCUUCCCGGCACAACACCCCACUACGUACAGCCUGUCUUCCCGGCACAACACCCCUCUACGUACAGCCUGUCUUCCCGGCACAACACCCCACUACGUACAGCCUGUCUUCCCGGCACAACACCCCACUACGUACAGCAUAUAGAUAUAUUAAUUGA